UUGGUGCCCAACCCCACCUUUACCCUACAACAUCUCAUGUCUAUAGAGAGGUCCAGCCCCCCGAUGCAACUUGACCACUGUAUCCAGCCAAGACAAAUCAACAUCAGAAAGGCCUUAGCAGCUCUACUACAGUGGAAGACCUAUUGACUUAAUAUUGGUUAAUCAGGUCUUAGUGUUUGCAACUUGAGCUCUUCAUAAGAGAUAAUCGAACAAUUGGCCAGGUAAGCAGGUGGGAGGCUCCCCUCACUCAGAGAGUAAGGUCCUAAUUAAGUAACCACCUUUCAUGCUUUCCUAGACACCAAUUAGAUCAAUUAAUCUAAUAUGACUUGCUCAUGUCGGUUCACUCUUGACUUGAUUG
rnacentral:lncRNA from 1 species